GCUGGAUUUUGAGCUUCUGCACCUCAACCUUCGUCUCUGUGAAGCUCAGCUGCUCCCACCGCACUCUGCCCCCAGUUGGCCACCAUGGAGACACAGGCACAAGGUUUGUUGGAGAGUGAACCAUUGCAAGGAGUAAAUGACGACUCUGUAGCCAGCACGGACUUCUCUAGCAUGCUCUCUGAGGAGGAAAAAGAAGAGUUAAAGGCAGAAUUAGUUCAGCUGGAAGACGAAAUUACAACUUUACGACAAGUUUUAUCAGCAAAAGAAAGGUAUCUGGUUGAGAUCAAACAAAAACUCGGCAUGAAUUUGAUGAAUGAAUUAAAACAGAACUUCAGCAAAAGCUGGCAUGAUAUGCAGACUACUACUGCCUAUAAGAAGACACAUGAAACUCUGAGUCAUGCCGGGCAGAAAGCAACUGCAGCUUUCAGCAAAGUUGGAACAGCCAUCAGCAAGAAGUUUGGAGAUAUGAGCUACUCCAUUCGUCAUUCCAUUAAGUAUGCCUGCUAUGAGACAUAAGUAGGCGGGACAAGCCAUGGUGGAGGGAGCUUGGAAGAGGUGCUUAGUUCUACUGAGCACGCCAGUGCACAAAGCUCCUCUGGAUGUCCCAGGCGCCCCGAGGAGGAGUUGCAGUGAUAAUCUGACUGCUGCCACCGCCUUCCACAUCGCCUCCCACAUCCCUUCUUCUCUGCACCACCCAGACGUAAAGACCAAAACCUCACCUGGAAAAUCACAAACCUUGACCUUGAUCUUCCAUUGAGCUCUCCACACAAUUCAAUAAAAUAAUUCCCAUUUGUAUUUGUGUUGAUAAUGGACCGCUGGACCCUCACACCUUCAGUAUUUUUAAAAGAUAAAAGUCAACUUUUACAAUG